rnacentral:rRNA from 1 species
CCCCGGAACUGCCUUUGAUACUGGGUGUCGCGAAGCCGAGAGAGGUGAGUGGAAUUCCGAGUGUAGAGGUGAAAUUCGUAGAUAUUCGGAGGAACACCAGUGGCGAAGGCGGCUCACUGGCUCGGUACUGACGCUGAGGUGCGAAAGCGUGGGGAGCAAACAG